rnacentral:rRNA from 1 species
GGUUCGAUCCUGGCUCAGAUUGAACGCUGGCGGAUGCUUUACACAUGCAAGUCGAACGGCAGCACGGACUUCGGUCUGGUGGCGAGUGGCGAACGGGUGAGUAAUGUAUCGGAAAUCGUGCGCUUCAGCAGCGUGGAUGUCCACGCGAAAGCGUAGCUACUACCGCAUACGCCCUUCGGGGAAAGCGGGGACCUUCGCCUCGCACUAGGAGCGGCCGAUAUCGGAUUAGCUAGCGCAGUGGUGGCAACGGCUCACCAAGGCGACGAUCCGUAGCUGGUUUGAGAGACGACCAGCCACACUGGGGACUGAGACACUGCCCAGACUUUACGGAGGCAGCAGUGGGGAAUUUUGGACAAUGGGGAAAACCCCUGAUCCAGCCAUCCCGCGUGUGCGAUGAAGGCCUCGGGUUGUAAAGCACUUUUGGCAGGAAGAAACGGCACGGGAUAAUACCCCGUGCAACUGACGGUACUGGCAGAAUAAGCACUGGCUAACUACGUGCCAGCAGCCGCGGUAAUACGUAGGGUGCAAGCGCGUUAAUCGGAAUUACUGGGCGCAAAAGCGUGCGCAGGCGGGUUCGGAAAGAAAGAUGUGAAAUCCCAGAGCUUAACUUUGGAACUGCAUUUUUAACUACCGAGCUAGAGUGUGUCAGAGGGAGGUGGAAUUCCGCGUAAGUGCAGUGAAAUGCGUAGAUAUGCGGAGGAACACCGAUGGCGAAGGCAGCCUCCUGGGAUAACACCGACGCUCAUGCACGAAAGCGUGGGGAGCAAACAGAUUAGAUACCCCGGUAGUCCACGCCCUAAACGAUGUCAACUAGCUGUUGGGGCCUUCGGGCCUCGGUAGCGCAGCUAACGCGUGAAGUUGACCGCCUGGGGAGUACGGUCGCAAGAUUAAAACCCAGCGAAUUGACUGUGGGGACCCGCACAAGCGGUAUGGAUGAUGUGGAUUAAUUCCGAUGCAACGCGAAAACCUAAACUACCCUUGACAUGUCUGGAAUCCCGAAGAGAUUUGGGAGUGCUCGCAAGAGAACCGGAACACAGGUGCUGCAUGGCUGUUCGCCGGGCGUCAAAUGUGAGAUGUUGGGUUAAGUCCCGCAACGAGCGCAACCCUUGUCAUUAGUUGCUACGGAAAGGGCACUCUAAUGAGACUGCCGGUGACAAACUGGAGGAAGGUGGGGAUGACGUCAGUCCUCGCGGCUCUGCGGUAGGGCUUCACACGUCAUACAAUGGUCGGGACAGAGGGUCGCCAACCUGGCGAGGGGGAGCCAAUCCCAGAAACCUGAUCGUAUCCGACCAGCGGCGCUCCGAACUCGACUGCGUGAAGUCGGAAUCGCUAGUAAUCGCGGAUCAGCAUGUCGCGGUGAAUACGUUCCCGGGUCUGUACACACCGCCCGUCACACCAUGGGAGUGGGUUUUAUCAGAAGUAGUUAGCUCAACCGUAAGGGAGGGCGAUUACCACGGUAGGAUUCAUGACUGUGAAGUCGUAACAAGGUAGCUCUGAAAGCAUACUCUGGAUGC